UAUUUUGGUUCCCCUUGCAAGAACUCUGGUGGCUCUCUUGGCCGUGCAAGCUCCUAGACGUCACAGUACAUGGAAAAAUGCAAGCUUUACCAGACUUGAAAGUGCCAUGUGAGGCCCUUCCUUCCCCCAGCCUGGAGCCCUGUGCACAGAGCUCCAUUGUGGUCACCCUCGAGGACAAGGGUCUCUGGAUGAAGUUUCAUCAGAUUGGAACCGAGAUGAUCAUCACCAAAUCCGGCAGACGAAUGUUUCCACAAUGCAAAAUCAAAGUCUCUGGCUUAAUCCCGUAUGCCAAGUACCUCAUGCUGGUAGAUUUUGUGCCAAUGGAUAACUUCAGGUACAAGUGGAAUAAAGAUCAGUGGGAAGUUGCUGGGAAAGCAGAGCCCCAGCUCCCUUGUCGCACCUACGUUCACCCAGAUUCCCCAGCUCCUGGCAGCCACUGGAUGAAAGAACCCGUCUCCUUCCAAAAACUGAAGCUCACCAACAACACUCUGGAUCAACAUGGGCAUAUCAUCCUGCACUCCAUGCACCGUUACAAGCCACGCUUCCACAUUGUGCAGGCAGACGACCUCUUCAGUGUCCGCUGGAGCAUCUUCCAGGUCUUCAGCUUCCCUGAGACUGUCUUCACUUCUGUCACUGCCUACCAGAAUGAGCAGAUUACGAAGCUCAAGAUUGACAACAAUCCCUUUGCUAAAGGUUUCCGUGAACAUGGGAAGAACACUCGAAGGGAAGGACGAGCAAAAUGCCAGAAGCCCAGUCCAGCCAAGAGCCAGAAGAGGAAGCUGCCUGAGGAAAAGGAGCAUGGUGCCGAGGAACGUGAUUUUGAGGAGGAUGAGAAUGUAGAUGUGAAGGAAGAGAGUAACCCCGUGGUGGUCAGCAGUGGAUAUCCCUUCUGGGGCUCGGAGCAGAAUGGCAGCCAGGCCUUCCCUGCGGCAUCGCCGGUGCCUGCGGAGCAGAGGGAGGGUCUGGCCAGAGAGCAGCAAGUGCCAACGCCAUCCUACCAGACAUAUCGGUUCCACGAAGCCGGGGACAGCCAGCACCUUCCCACCCGCGAUGCCACGGCCCUGAAUGAUUUCCGGGCAAGGUGCCACGCCUUGGAUCUCGCCACGGUGCCUGAGCACGACUCCAAACAGCUCCCAGAGGGCUUCACCAACCUGCCUCCGCUCCCCCCGCCUCUGCCUCCUCCCCAGGACUACACGGGAGUGGUGAACAUGGCUCUAGACUCUGUUGGGAAACCCGGGGCCCGAGCGCCCGUGUACAGUCCCUAUGGCACCGAGCAGGGCCUGGGGCAGUGGGUGGUGCCUCCCCACAGCCAGUACAGGGCAAUGAGCUACUCGGCCUUCUCCACGGAGUACAACACACAGGGCGCUCCGGGACAUGCCCACGGGACCAUGGCGGAGUGGAGCCAGUACCCUCUGUUCCCCUACGCCUGCUGGUGAACGGGGAGGACCCUUCCCAGUGAAAAAACUGUAAAUGAGAUCAGAUUUGCUCUGGACUUCUGGAGCCUCGCCUGCACUAGGCAGAGGUAUUGCUGCAAGCAGUAGAAUGGGACACCUUCACUUCCUUGUCUCCUUGCACAACAACCCUCACCGUGUUUCACAAACAGUGGCUAAACUGGUGGCUGCCCCAGCUGUGUCACUGUGGAUCAGGCAGAAUAAAUGUCCUGCAGUGUCUUUUUUCCCAGCAGGAGUAGGAAACCACAAGAUCUCCAAGGGCAGUAGUUAAAGAGCUGCUGAACUUGCAGUCACAGGCUGUUUGCACCUCGUAUUUGGCAGUUUCCAAAAUCCCUUCCUCUCGGGACUUGAGGCAAGGAGAUGGGGCUAAGGAGUUUCAGUAAGCCAUCUAGGUGGCACAAAAGCUGUAGACAAUAUUGCAAAGACAAGUGAAACAAGCAAUCCUGCUGACCUUUAAGCAGGUUCCUCAGUUAGUAUAGUCAAACUAAAGCUAGAGUCUUGCCUUUCUUCCAGCAGCAGAAGAGAGUAAAAUGCACAGCAAGGAGUGUCUGGAGCAUAGCAGUGGGUCACGCAGGCAGGGAAGAGUUUGUUCCAUGCAGGAGAAGCAGCAGGAAGGCUGUGUGUUGUGUCUGCAGGUCCCUGUGCCCAUCCCUCCUCUGUCAGCCCUAGAUUCAAGCAAAUCUGAGCAGGAGGAACCCUGGGAGAGGUAACGCAGCUCACAGGACACAGCGAAGGAAGUCGGGAAGGUGUUUCUCCCCCGCAGCACUCGACGUGUACUUCCCAGAGCAAACACUGAAGCGUUCUUGAGACCUGGGCCUGAGCAGUGGUGUCAGACGAAAUUUUAACCAAGGGUGAAGCAACCCUUCAGCGCAGGGGUGUACAACUACAGUGUUCCUGCCCAGACAGCACCCUGCUUGAGCGUGAGGCUGAUGCUCAGCAGGAAUCCAGUCCAGUGCUGUGUAUCCAUCCUCACAGCAGACUUUGAGCCAAGUCACCAGCUGCGAUACCUGGAAAGAGAAAAGCUGUUUCUCUUCAAGGUCAGUGGAUUAAUGGUAUCACUGGUCACAAGAUGAGGGCAAAAAAGAGAUGGUGUAAGAUUACAGAAAUGGAUUCAGAAUGUAGAAGUCCCCAUGAGAGCCCCUGAACUACCUCAUAGUCCAGAUCAAAUUAGUGAAGUAACAGAAUGCACUAAAAAACUAUGGGAUUACAGUCUAGAAAUACAGAGUGCCAUUACUUCACAGUAAUGAAAAAUGGGCAAGUUUGAUUUUCUUGUAUUUUUUAUGACAAGUUAAGGGUAGCAACAGUGGCUGGGUUUGUCACUUCUGUCAGGAGCAUCCCUGGAGGUCUCCAGCUUGGCUGCUGAAUGGUGGUGGGCUGAAAACGAGUCGAGUGCCAAGAGUUUCAAACCGACUCCUGUUGUUCACUUCUGUCAGUCCCUUCUGUCUGUUCAAAACAGCAUCCACUCCUCACUCGCCUCUGCCCCCAAGUCAGUUGGGUCUCAGGUGCAGGGCAAGCUGGGGGAAGGCAAAGCAGCACACCCAGCGCUGCCCUUCUGCCCCUGCCACCAUCUGAGAGCCCAGCGAGAGCUGCUCUUGCUCCAGGGUCUGGAGAGGAUUCAGUGGAUAGUGCAGACUGGGAAUCACAGUGCGGCGCAGGGGGUUAACAGUCCCUGGGAUCCACCCUGUCCCUUGUGCUUUAGUGAUACAUUUCUAGACCAAAAGCAAGUGACGGAUUUUUCAGCGCUGACUUUCAGCUGCCCUUGUUGGACCAGCCAGGACGCACAAAGCAGGAGCCAGUUCCCUGCGGAUACCCCAGAUUUAGCUCUGAUCCCAAUUGUCUGGUGCGCCAGCGGCGGGUUAGACUAAUAACUCGUGCAGGGAGGGUUCUAGUUACAAAAUGCCCGGAAUGAAGUAAGCAGGUGCUGGGAAGGUUAUCUGAGGGGAGCACUGUGUUAAUUCCCUAUCCCUCGCUCCCCGUGCCUACCUUGGAAGCAGCGUGGAUGGUGUCUUCCACAGGUGAGGCUGCACCUGGCACAUGAAGGGUGCACUGAGCAGGGGCAGUAGCUCAGCUUUAGCUCCCAAGGGUUGUGCCAGUCUGGAGCAGCAGGGAUGGGUCCAAGUCACAGUGGUGGGUGCUGGAUUCCCAGGCUGCUCCCAUGGUGGGCAGCUGGAGCAGUGUGUGGAUAACCAGACCCAAGGUGGGCACACACCAAUCUGUGUUAAUGAGUCACAGUAAUUGGUGCAACUUUGGCUCUAGGCAAGCUUGUAGGGCUUGGAUUUUGGAGCAGGAGGCUCACUCUGGGACAGCUGUGAUGUUUUCUUUCCCUGUGCCUGCCUGUCCUGCUUGGACACGUGGUCCUGCUGCAGGGGGGCUCAGCUGUUUGCACAGCAACUGCCAGUUCACAGCUCGGGGUAUGGAGGUUUCCUGAAAUUGGAACUGCUUUACCUUGCCCCGCUGAGCUGUGACUGGUGGUCCAACAGCUGCUACGGGAGCAGCUGACCUGCCCUCUAAAAAAAAGGCAGAGGGGACAAUGAAGGGGAUAGAAACUGCUACAGCUGCUCUAAGGUGAGCUGUCCCUGCUGGUGAGUGUGGACCUGAAGAGCUUUCGUAUGUGCACAAUCUACACUGUGAAAAAUCAUGUAAAAAAACUACAAGGAACUGUGUUCUGCUGUGGCUGCAUUUUAUCUGAGUGUAUUUAGGUGUAUUUCCUACUGGUGUUAAGCUCCAACAGACACACCUCUGGGUAUGUCCUAGAGAGGUGUUUGUCACUCAUUUAAAAGGUUUUAUUUCUAAACCAGUGUGAUGACAAACUGAUGAACCCAACUCAUCCCAGCCAGCUGGCACAGAAAAAUUAAGGCUUAUACUGCCUGUUGUAGGACUGACCUAACUAAACUAGUUCAGAUUUGCACUGGUGAGAGCCUGGAUACAGGUAAGCCAGAAAUACACCCAGGUGCAGUUACUGCUUGUUUCUCGUUACCUUUGACUUUCGGCUGAGCACACUUGGCUGUUGCUGGAGCUUUCGGUGGCUGCUGUGCUGGGCACUCCUGGUACAAAUCCCCCAUCCCAGCUGCAGCGAGGGGAGGGCUGUGCCAGCCAGUGGAGAAGGGCACCCACGUUGUGAUCCAGUGUGCAGGAAGCAGAUCACGGAGGGAAGAGCAGAAACACUUGGGUUUGCCACAUAAAGCAAAAGAUGCCAUGAGAAGCAGCCACAGCAACAGGCCAACACUGCCAGCUUUUGCCAGGAAGCCAAAUGCACACAAAGCAGCUUGAAACAGGAUUAUCAAUCCCACUGCGUGUA